UCGUCCGCGCCACAGUGUCGACACGGCGUGCACACAAUAUGGUGGUGGUGGUGUGGAAGUGCGGUACGGUGACAUCAUUUCGUUUUUCUUUCUUUUUUGCUCCGUCGAUGUAUCUGCAAAUGUACUUCAGAACGAUAUCCCGGACAAAACGAAUACGGUUUGAAGAAGCUGUCAAAUUCACGCUCAGCAAGCACUUUCGCCAAGACACUGCACGUGGAAGGCUGCCUUGACCGGCAAUCAAGUACUAUGUCACGUACACGGUGCGGUAUUUUCUCUCUUUCCUUCUUUCGAUCUCAGGGAUUUCCCGGAACGCCAAAUGAGAUCACAUCAGCCAAUUAGAGCGGGCGGUAAACAAACCAAAAAACACGCUUGUUGUUGUGGGAAAUAGAAUUUAGCUACUGCCAAUGGCCAUACACACAAUUAUAGUUUGUCUACUCGCUUUUCCUUUCUCUGUUUAGUUUUCUCCGUGUUCGCAGUGUCGAACGACGACGGCGACUGUGAGUUGUGUCAAGGUAUUUACGCCGUAAUCUGAGGCCGCAAUCCGAGUGCACUCCGAAAUUAUAUCAGUGUUUCGAACAAAAUGUGUCGCACUUCUCGCCGAGUGCGUAAGUGUUUUUUUUUGUUUUGUUUUUUAAUUCUAGCAGCGAAGAAAAAUUCCGUUGCCUACACUCUUAAAAAUGAACUUCAUCACAUAGCACGCUCCUAGCAAACCAUGAUCUCGAAUGAUAUCGUUAUCUGCCCUGAUUUGUAGAAAACGGGAUUCGUACUAUUGUUUUCCGCAGAAGUUCCGAUGUUCAUUUCCGUUUGACUCCUUCAAUGAACGCUAUCACUCAGUUACAUAAACAACAUGAGUGUUGACGUUAUUUUCCACAACUCACGAACUUCUUUGUCCAGAGUGCUGAUAUUUGCAGAUGUUAUUGCUGAUAAAAUUUGCCACAUUUUGUAUAUUCUGGAACUUGUAGAUCGUCAUUUUUGUUCAAGGUAGAGGUGUAUCUUCAUGAGGUUUCUGCUGUUUGCACAAAUUUUUGGUGCCCCAAAAUUAAUUUUGGACAUACAUAGAUAGCUUUGUUCCUCAAACUUAUAUCAUUCGAUAGGGCAUUCAUUUGUCUACAUUUUCCUAUAUGGCAACAUACCUUGAAGUGGUACUGUCAGGUGACAAAAAAUAUAUCUGCCCAACCACUCAAAAAUGGCCAUCUUUGCGGCGGUAAGGGAAGAACCAAAGUGCUUAAAAAAAUUCGAUCGCGGACUGAAAGCUGCCGUUACCUUGACACGAACACAAAAGGAACGGGAUUCGUCGGUUGCGUCGUUCGUGACUUAUGAGCGAAAGAAACGGCUAUUUAACCUUUCCCUCUCCCUUUCUUUCUCAACAAGCGCAACAGCGCAGAGAGUCCCCGGAUUGGUCUCCUCCCCCGAUAACUGGACAAAUCGUUUGAGGAGACCAAUGGGAGCCCAAGUACAGUGCGGUUCCUUUCGCUCACAAAUCACGAA